rnacentral:misc_RNA from 1 species
UAAUAAGUGUUUUAUGGCACUUUUUAAAUCCAUAUCCACCUUGUGUGCAAUGUCAGUCGAUCUUCUUCAUGGAGAUCGACCAAAUAUCAACCUUUAUUUUUUAACUCUUUGUCUGAAAAAUAUUAUGAAUAAACAAUUCAAAAUA